UUAAUCCGUAAUGGGGCUUCCAUUGUAUGCAGGAGUUACCUGGGUCGGUGGCUUUCUUUCGUCAUGGCUUGCUUGCUGCUCCCUGCAGCGCGUUGCUGCCGGUCCAACUUUAAACCAGCAUUCCCCCCAGUUUAAAAUAUCAAACCAGCGGAGCAGCUUGCUUGGCUAAUUUCCUGCUGAAAAAAUCAACAACAGCUUGAAAGAAAAGAAAAUGAAUGAAUAAAUAAG
rnacentral:sRNA from 1 species